GCCCGGUUAGCUCAAUCGGUAGAGCGUGAGACUCUUAUCGCAGGGCAUCUCAAGGUUGCGGGUUCGACCCCCGCAUCGGGCU
rnacentral:tRNA from 2 species